rnacentral:lncRNA from 1 species
CCCCUUCCCGGGCACCGCAGGGCCCAGACGCGGGGAAGGCCCCGCCGCCAGCUGCCCCAAGGCCCUGGAGCCGUCGCCUUCUGGCUUUGAUGUCAACACGGCUGUUUGGGUCUGAGUCCCGGAGACAGAAAGUUGACUGAGCCCCAGAGCGGCCCCGUGUGCCGGGAAGCGUGGGCUGCGGGCGCUAUGGCUUUCGAAAGCCGAACUCCUGAGUUCCUUUCCCCCAGGAAGGAGGGCGAGACAGCGAGAGUGUCUGGAGCUGAGGGUUGUGUAUGGUUGAGUCAGGCUGGGGGGGGGGCUGUUGAGGAGGUGAGGGCUCCUGGGCAUGGAGAGACGUGGCAGGGGGGUACUCACCUUGGGGCUGCAGGUGACGAGAGGGGCAGGAACAGAGCAGUGGGCAAUCUUGAUCCUUCCCUGCCCCCAAAGACCUCAGUUGAACAUUCUGUAAGAUUAGAGUGCUGGGGUCUCUGGUCCCCCCCAGAGGCUCCCAAUAAAGACCUCGUCUGUGUCUCUGUCAUCCCCAACCUCAUCACCGUGGGCUCCUUGGCACAGGCGUGCAACGCCAGCCCUCCCAGGAUUGGGAGCAGGAGAGAGGAGCCUUCCCCAUCCCACUUCUCCCUGUCGCCUUCAAGAUUCCGGCCACACCCGGGCCUGAAAAAUGGGUGGAGUGGACCUGCGGGGACCUAGAGAUGGCCCUGGAUCUUUCAAAGGCACAGGAAAGAUGUAGCCCUGGAGACCAAGCUGGAGGAGGGAGGAGGCUUCCAUCACCCUCAGAUCCCCUCUGCCAAAUGGUGGAUGUUUCAUGCUUUGGUGGCGGGAGCCACACGAAGGAAGGUGCUAAAUUUAUUUAUUCAGUGCUUGCUAUUUGCCGGGCAGCGUGCAAAACAGGCCUUUCUAGACUGACCCUAGAAAGGGUUGUCUUCUUGGUGGAUCAGUGGAGGUUCAUAGGGGUCCUAAGGGCUGCCCAGAUCGGCCUGCCAACUCAUGCAAGAACAAGAUUUGAAACAGGAUUGGCUGGCGGCAGAACAGCCUUCUGCCCUCCCGGAGUAUGGAGUUUGCCGACUGAGCCGGCCCUUUCUGGAGGAGCAAGCCCCUGCUCAUCCUGUCUCCCCAGGGAGGGCGUGGUGAUGCUUCAGUGCGGGGUGAAGGCCCGGUGGCUUCGGCUGCCAGGGUGCUGGUGCUGGUGGCAGUGCUGGUGGCGGUGCUGGUGCUGCUGCUGGUGCUGGUGGCGGUGCUGGUGCUAG